GACGAACGCUGGCGGCGUGCCUAAUACAUGCAAGUAGGACGCAGUUGCGAACGGGUGAGUAACGAGUAGGUCACUACCUAUUAGAGGGGGAUAACUAUUGGAAACGAUAGCUAAUACCGCAUACUAGUAGAUGGACCUGCGUUGUAUUGGCUAGUAUGUAGGGGAAUGGCCUCCCUAGGCAACGAUACAUAGCCGACCUUGGGGGGUGGUCGGCCCAACCGGGACUGGAACACGGCCCAGAAUCCCACCGGAAGCAGCAGGAGGGAAACUUCGGACAUGGGGCGAACGCUGGCCGAGCAACGGCGGGGGAGUGAAGAAGGGUUUCGGGUCGUAAAGCUCUGUUGUUAAGGAAGCGGUACUUAACCAGAAAGGGACGGCUAACUACGUGCCAGCAGCCGCGGUAAUAC
rnacentral:rRNA from 1 species